rnacentral:rRNA from 1 species
GACGAACGCUGGCGGCGUGCUUAACACAUGCAAGUCGAACGGUGAAGCGCCUUCCUUUUUGGUGGGUGUGGAUGAGUGGCGAACGGGUGAGUAACACGUGAGUAACCUGCCCCCUUCUUCUGGAUAACCGCAUGAAAGUGUGGCUAAUACGGGAUAUUCUGGGUCUGUCGCAUGAUGGGUCUGGGAAAGAUUUUGUUUCGGUGGGGGAUGGGCUCGCGGCCUAUCAGCUUGUUGGUGGGGUGAUGGCCUACCAAGGCGGUGACGGGUAGCCGGCCUGAGAGGGUCGACGGUCACACUGGGACGGAGACACGGCCAAGACUCCUACGGGAGGCAGCAGGGAGGAAUAUGGCACAGUGGGAGCAAGGCUGAUGCAGCGACGCCGGGUGAGGGAUGGAGUCCGGCGGGUUGUGAACCUCUUUCGCCAGUGAAGCAGGGCUGCCUCGUUUGUGCGCGGGUUGACGGUAGCUGGACAAGAAGCGCCGGCUAACUACGUG